GAGCUCGGCUGGGGCUGCCGGGAUUGGGGCGCCGCAGCUCGCGCUGGUCUCGGUGGCAGCUCCUCCGCGCCGCAGGACUCGGCUCUACGGGACAUGUUCGUGCCGCGCUCGCCGCGCGCCCGGGCCUGCUAGCUCCUCCGGGCUCCCUGAACGCGCGGCGCCGCACCUGGCAGCGGCCUCGGAGCUCGGCUCGGGCAGGAGCGCGCGGCCGUGCGCACCGCGCAGCGACCGCUGCCGUCAUGGGGCUGCAGCCCCUGGAGUUCAGCGACUGCUACCUCGACAGCCCGUGGUUCCGGGAGAGGAUCCGCGCUCACGAAGCGGAACUCGAGAGGACCAACAAGUUCAUCAAAGAGCUCAUUAAGGAUGGGAAGAACCUCAUCGCUGCGACCAAAAGUCUGUCAGUGGCCCAGCGGAAGUUUGCUCAUUCACUCAGAGACUUUAAGUUUGAGUUUAUCGGUGAUGCUGUGACAGAUGAUGAACGAUGCAUAGGUAAUUAAACAUGAUAUUUUGGUUUGUUUUCCUUUGCCAUGGCCACCAAAUAAUCACUCCUUUCUUCUUACAGAUGCUUCCUUACGUGAAUUUUCAAAUUUUUUGAAGAAUCUGGAGGAACAGAGAGAAAUUAUGGCAUUAAGUGUAACUGAAACCCUGAUUAAACCCUUGGAAAAAUUCAGAAAAGAGCAACUUGGAGCUGUAAAGGAAGAAAAAAAGAAGUUUGACAAAGAGACAGAAAAGAAUUAUAGUCUAAUUGAUAAACAUUUGAAUUUAUCAGCAAAAAAGAAAGACUCACAUUUACAAGAGGUAUAAUUUCUUAUUUUUCUGUUAAGUUUUCAAAAUUUGAUAAGCAAUACAUGUCUUUUAAAAAUGUGCUUACUUUUGAUAACUUUUCUUCUGGCAUUAUAGAGAUAACAAAAAGUGAACAGGUAUUGUCAUAAAUUAAGAAAAAAGUCCUUGUGAAACAAGACAAAAUAAUGAAUACAUCUUAUAGUGAUGAAUGAGGUGUGGAUUCAUAGUAGUAAAUUUUUUGUUUGAGUAUUAUUUUACAGGAACAUAACUUUAAACCAGCAUUAGUGAAGAACAGAUAUAUUAUUUGCAGGAAUAGAUCAAUUAAUAGGCUUUCGGGAGUUCUUGAAGAAAUGAAUUGAAUAAGCUCAUAUACCAUUAUGUGUUUAUGUGAAGGCAGCAUUAAUCUUGUUUAAUGCUAAGGAUUCAGGAGGUUCAGCUUUGUUGGAAAGAGAGCAUCUGUUUUACUUGUAUUAAUAGACUCAUUUAUUUUGGAGGCAGCCAUAUGUAAGCAGGAAGGAAUUUAUUUUAUUUUUCAUUUUCUCUUUGUUUACUUCUAAAUCCCCUGCCAUUUGUUUCUCUCACUCACACACUUGGAUGGAAACUCAGUUGUUUACAAUUCAAAACAUAAUGCUUUUAUUAAAAAUAAUGCUGUUUGCCAUUGUUAGGAUUUUGUCUCAUCCCACAAAAUUGUAUUUUUUUUUUCCUUGUUUUUUUAACACGUAAGGAAUCUGGACAUUAUGUACUACUGUCAUAAACACUUAUUGAAGUAUUAUCAAAAUGACACAGUAUUAAGUCUUGUGUAAACCUGGAUUAUAUUUAAAUGUUAGCUAUUUAGUUAC
rnacentral:sRNA from 1 species